rnacentral:lncRNA from 1 species
GUUCUCUAGGUAAGUAGUUGGUACUCGGUAGUGAGUUCUAUAAUAGUAAUAUGUUUUGUGAACAAGGGCAUUAGAAUGAUUAAAAAAAAUUCCCUUUAAUUUUAAUAAUACUAAAAACAGAAUAGUGCUGUGAAACAACUAAAGCAAAAAACUACGAACUUGUUUAAUUUGUUCUUUCCUGAAGAAAUUUUUAAAACAGAAAAUAAAGCGAAGAUGACAUAAAAAUGCAGAAAAGC